UGAAGAGGUCAGUUGGAGUCUUGUUUGCUCCUGGAUAUUCAGACACGGCUCAGUUAAUGUGGAACUCAGAUGGACAGCAAAACUGAUGAAGGUGCUGGAUAAUCACAAUGUUGGGACAGAGAUGCCGGCUUGCUGUAUCUGCAGGAGGGGGAUAAGCUGAGCCAGAGGAGCAGAGGUCAGGGCAGCAGAGAAAGGCGAUUAUGCAGAGCAGCACUAAUAAGGUCGCUGAACUGAUAUGAAGACUUCAGAGCUCUGUCAUGCCUCAUGGCUGGGAGGGAAGGAAUGCUAUGUUUAUUUAGAUGUUAAAAAAUAGAAACAAUCUUAGGUCCUCUCCAACAUCAGUUUACAUUGCUAGCAGGUGCAGACACCACAGUACAUAAAGUGCCGUUUUAUGCAUCCAUUUCAAUACGAGCUGCU